CCUACGGGUGGCAGCAGUAGGGAAUUUUCGGCAAUGGGGGGAACCCUGACCGAGCAACGCCGCGUGAGUGAAGAAGUCAUUCGUUAUGUAAAGCUCUAUCAGCAGGGAAGAGAAUGACGGUACCUGAGUAAGAAGCCCCGGCUAACUACGUGCCAGCAGCCGCGGUAAUACGUAGGGGGCAAGCGUUAUCCGGAUUUACUGGGUGUAAAGGGAGCGUAGACGGGAGUGCAAGUCUGGAGUGAAAGGCGGGGGCUCAACCCCCGGACUGCUCUGGAAACUGUACGGCUGGAGUGCAGGAGAGGUAAGUGGAAUUCCUAGGGUAGCGGUGAAAUGCGUAGAUAUGAGGAGGAACACCAGUGGCGAAGGCGGCUUACUGGACUGUAACUGACGGUGAGGCUCGAAAGCGUGGGGAGCAAACAGGAUUAGAUACCCGUGUAGUC
rnacentral:rRNA from 1 species